rnacentral:lncRNA from 1 species
AUCUGACCUGAUUUUUCAGUAGGAAACCAACUUCUUAGCCAGAUGGGGUCUGUUCUGAAUGUGUAAUUGGUGCUAAAUACAUAUCUUUUAAAUCAAAUUUACUCUUGCUCUAGCUGCUUGAUUUUUUGGGGCAAUGGAAACAUAUAAUUACAAUCAUGCUGAACUGCAUUUGUUUUUAGAAAGCUUCAAUGUUUGAUUUUUAGAAUAAAAUAAGCUUUAUUUUUUACUCAUUCUUUUGCUCUCUGUUAAAACCUUCAUUCCAGGAUGAUCUACCUCGGGAGCACAGAUUACAGGGUUUUGCAUACCAGUGAAACUAGUGACAUCGGCUGGUCUAAAGGACCCCACAAGCAGUUGACUCAAAGAACAAAGUUUCCAAGUUCUGAUUUUCAUACCCCUUCCUCGAUCAAUCAACAACCACAAUUUUCUAGCCCCUUGCCCUUCAUAAUUCUCUUAAAAACCCCAGCCCAGAACCCCUCAGAGAUGGAUUCGAGGGUCUCCUUCCAUCUCCUUGCUCAGCCACCCUACAAUCAUUAAA